UAUUUGAUCAUGAUCACGGGCUGACGGGCAUCACGGCAUUUUGUUUGUUUUAAAAGUUAUUAGGUGCAUUAAGUUUACUGUUUUUAUCCUACAUAGCUUCUUAAGCAGCAAACAAGAAAUGACGAAAAAGAGAUGGGCCAACAUUGAACAAAGCAAAAUAGAGAAAUCAGUUGCUUCAUGGCUGCCACAGACACAAUUAAAAUCAAAGACUUAGAAAGGGGCAGGGUGUCAAAGAGCACCUGAAGAACAGGAAGAUGAGGAUCGUGAAGCCGCCGACGCUUGAAUGAUGUGUAAAUAAUGUAUUGUCAGAGUGUCUACGAACCGGGAAAUCUGGGAAUGAACUUAUUUUUUUACUGAAAUGUACUGUUUUUAGUAAAUAUGGGUAAUUUUUAGUGGUAAUUGUCCUUAAAUAAUUGUGUGGGCCAUUUUAAGUAUGAUAUAAAAAUUUGUUAGAAGAACAUAAAAGGUUUUUUAUAAAAUGUUUGCUUACAUUUUCAUCAUUUAUUACUAUGGAGUAAUUAUGCAAUAGAAACCACAUUAGCAGUCUCAAAGCCAUAAAUAUUUUAUCUCGACAAUCACAUCAAGUCAAGUACUUCAAAAAACUUAUGACUCAGUAGCAAAGCUCAUAAAAGUUGUAUCACUGUCAUUCCUUGACAACUUAUUUAUUUAUUACUAGGGUAAUUAUCAUUAGAUCCCAAACCUUUUUGAUCAUGGGAAUAAUAGUUUUAUAUUAGCUGUUAAAUUUAACUUCUUACUUGUACUUUCAUCUUGAAGAUUCAAUUUGCCGCUGGCCGUUGCCUACUCCCUUCAAAGCUGUUUACGGUUUCAUAUUAACCCUCCGAGUGUCAUGCGUCGCUGCAGCGACGCGUAACGCACUUUGUAUAGUGUCGUGCGUCGCUACAGCGACUCGCGAACACUGUUUACGGCGAAGGCUCUAUGACUAACUGAAUCGGACUGUACUGGAUUGAGUUAGGUAUCGUUCUUUCCGUAAUAUUCUAAGCUUUCUCCUAGGUCUGUCUCUAAGCACUAUUCAUUUUAGUUCCGAAAAUAUUGUAGCAGACAGCUGACUGAGCUGACGUGCGUGUAUUCGUAAACAGCUAGGUUACCCUCGGACCGAUGACUGAUGUGUUUUAUUACAUUUAUCAUUGUUUUAGUGUUAAAAAUCAAAAGUAGUGAUAUACGUGGUGCAUUAUAAGAAGAUUUAAGUGGUUUUGAAGUGCUGGUUGAUGAUCCUGAAGAAGUAGGUAGUGAUAUUGAUGUAAAUUAUCAGCCAGAUUCCUAGCUAUGGUUGGGCUAUGCAUUCUUAGCUAAACGCUAUGUACUGAAAUCUGUUUUUUGCCCAUAACUUAUUUAUUUGCAAAUCUACUUCCUUAUAUUAUUAUAUAUUUGUAAUCCUCAUAAAAUUUAGAACAAAGUGGCUAUUUUCAAAUAUUUAUAGGCCUAUAAUUUAUACAAUUUCAUUGAGCGCAAACUUAUUUUUUUUUUUUUAAUUUUCGAAAUUAUACAUUUUUUUUACCUAAAAAUUUUUUUUUUUAAAAAUCUUCCUUAUGUUUUAUAUAUAAUAUUGAAGCCCAAGAUUUUCCAAACAAAAUGGUAUAUAGAACAGUAUAAUUAACAUUGUUUUUAAGCUUCUCAGAUCAGUUUUAAUAAAAUCUUGCAAAUGAGCAAAAAAUAGGCUGACAUUAAGGCCAAAACACGUGACACUCGGAGGGUUAAACUUCGAAUUAAUAUACAGUGUUAUUUUAUAAGUUAAAUCCUCUUUUAUGGACAUUUUAUCUUUCAAUUGACAAAACCACGAGCAUUGUUGUUUGCAUUAAUUUUUUAUCAUAACACAGUCCUACUUGGUCUCAAAAAAAUCAUGUCCUUGCAUUUCAUGUAUCUUUGUCUUUUAUUGUUGGCUGUUUGGGUUUCAAUAUUUUUUUGUUCCUCAUAUUUAUUUAUUGAGUUGUAUGCGUUAAGCAAUCUAAAUCUUAUAAACAAGAAUGAUGAUAAUUUGCUGCUAUUAUAACCUCAUUGUUUGUUACUUAGUUUGUACAAGCCCUCCUAAAUAAUUAGGUCUAGGCCUAGGCAAACUAAUGAUUGCUAUAUAUGAAUGUUAAAUUUGCAAUUGAAAAGAUAAUAAUUUAUUCUGUGCUGGCUGGUAGAGUACUUAAAGUUUGUCCAUGAAUAUUUUAUUUUUAUAUCCAUGCACCCAUUUCUAUUUUCCAGAAUGUAGUAGACUGUGUUUUUAUUAUUUCUCUACUUUUUUUUAAUUUGUUUACUUCAAAUAGAAGAAUUUCAGUAUA